GACGAACGCUGGCGGCGUGCUUAACACAUGCAAGUCGAACGAAAAGAGGGAAAGAGCUUGCUCUUUCCGGAAUUGAGUGGCAAACGGGUGAGUAACGCGUAAACAACCUGCCUUCAGGAUGGGGACAACAGACGGAAACGACUGCUAAUACCGAAUAAGUUCCAAGAGCCGCAUGGCCCAUGGAAGAAAAGGUGGCCUCUACCUGUAAGCUAUCGCCUGAAGAGGGGUUUGCGUCUGAUUAGCUGGUUGGAGGGGUAACGGCCCACCAAGGCGACGAUCAGUAGCCGGUCUGAGAGGAUGAACGGCCACACUGGAACUGAGACACGGUCCAGACUCCUACGGGAGGCAGCAGUGGGGAAUCUUCCGCAAUGGGCGAAAGCCUGACGGAGCAACGCCGCGUGAGUGAUGACGGCCUUCGGGUUGUAAAACUCUGUGAUCCGGGACGAAAAGGCAGAGUGCGAAGAACAAACUGCAUUGACGGUACCGGAAAAGCAAGCCACGGCUAACUACGUG
rnacentral:rRNA from 1 species